AAACCCCCUCGCCGAAAGACUUAGGGUUCCUGAUCAACGUUAAUCGGAUCAGGGUUAGUCGGGUCCUUAGGCAAAGCCGAAAGGCGUAGUUGAUGGAAAGCUGGUUAAUAUUCCAGCACUUGUUCUUACUUCGAUGGAGUGACAGGGAAGUGAAAGGUCCGCGAUCUUACGGAAUAGAUCGUUAAAGGGUGUAGAUAUAGACUUUGUAGGUAAAUCCGCAGAGACUGUCGAACCUGAUAGUACUCAAAGGCUUCGGCCGGCGAGAUAGUGACCCUAAUCAUGCCCGCGAGAAAACCUUCUAAGUUAUGGUAAGAACAACCCGUACCGUAAACCGACACAGGUAGUCGAGAUGAGUAUUCUAAGGCGCUCGGGUGAGCCGCGGAGAAGGAACUAGGCAAAUUGAUGCUGUAACUUCGGGAUAAGGCAUACCACAGUAAUGUGGUCUCAGUAAAUCGGUUCAACCAACUGUUUAGCAAAAACACAGGGCCCUGCAAAAUCGAAAGAUGACGUAUAGAGCCUGAUACCUGCCCGGUGCUGGAAGGUUAAGGAAGCUUGUUCGGAGUAAUCCAAAGCUUGUGACCGAAGCCCCAGUAAACGGCGGCCGUAACAAUAACGGUCCUAAGGUAGCGAAAUUCCUUGUCGGGUAAGUUCCGACCUGCACGAAUGGUCUAAUGAGUUGAACACUGUCUCCUCCGCGAGCCCGGUGAAAUUGUAGUAUCGGUGAAGAUGCCGGUUACCCGCCACGGGACGGAAAGACCCCGUGAACCUUCACUACAACUUUGCAUUGAUUUUGAGUAACAGAUGUGUAGCAUAGCUGGGAGACUAUGAAGCGGGUACGCCAGUAUCCGUGGAGUCACCGUUGAAAUACCAGCCUUCUGUUACUUAGAGUCUAACCUGGAAACGGGAACAUUGCAUGGUGGGUAGUUUGACUGGGGUGGUCGCCUCCUAAAGAGUAACGGAGGCUCGCAAAGGUUCCCUCAGCAUGGUUGGUAAUCAUGCGAAGAGCGCAUUAGUAUAAGGGAGCUUGACUGUGAGACUGACUAGUCGAGCAGGUGCGAAAGCAGGCUAAAGUGAUCCGGUGGUUCCGCAUGGAAGGGCCAUCGCUCAAAGGAUAAAAGGUACUCCCGGGAUAACAGGCUGAUCUCCCCCAAGAGCUCAUAUCGACGGGGAGGUUUGGCACCUCGAUGUCGGUUCGUCACAUCCUGGGGCUGGAGAAGGUCCCAAGGGUUGGGCUGUUCGCCCAUUAAAGUGGCACGUGAACUGGGUUCAGAACGUCGCAAGACAGUUCGGUCCCUAUCUGUGGUGGGCGCUAGUAAAUUGAAGGGGAUGUGAUCUUAGUACGAGAGGACCGGAUCGCGUGUACCGCUGGUGUAUCUGUUGUGCCGCCAGGUGCAGUGCAGAGUAGCUACGUACAGUACAGGAUAAGCGCUGAAAGCAUCUAAGCGCGAAGCCAACCUCAAGAUGAGUUUACUUACAUAAGAAGGGUCGCAGCAGACUACUGCGUUGAUAGGCUAUAGAUGUAAUACUGGUAACAGUAGAGUCGAGUAGUACUAAUUACCCGUAAGCUUUAAUU
rnacentral:rRNA from 1 species